AUAAUUACCUGACAGGGGAGAUAUCAUGAUCACAAAGGUGGUUUUCCCAGGACAAGGCUUAUCCAUUGCGCUCAAGAUGUGCUGACCCCUGUGAUUUCCCCAAAUGUGAGAAAUUCGACUGUAUAAUUUGUGGUAGUAGGGGACUGAGUUCACACCCUCACCUG
ensembl:snRNA U1 U1 spliceosomal RNA